rnacentral:rRNA from 1 species
CCUACGGGAGGCAGCAGUGGGGAAUAUUGGACAAUGGGCGAAAGCCUGAUCCAGCCAUGCCGCGUGUGUGAAGAAGGCCUUCGGGUUGUAAAGCACUUUCAGUGGGGAAGAAAGCCUUGGGGCUAAUACCCUCGAGGAAGGACAUCACCCACAGAAGAAGCACCGGCUAACUCCGUGCCAGCAGCCGCGGUAAUACGGAGGGUGCGAGCGUUAAUCGGAAUUACUGGGCGUAAAGCGCGCGUAGGCGGUCUGAUAAGCCGGUUGUGAAAGCCCCGGGCUCAACCUGGGAACGGCAUCCGGAACUGUCAGGCUAGAGUGCAGGAGAGGAAGGUAGAAUUCCCGGUGUAGCGGUGAAAUGCGUAGAGAUCGGGAGGAAUACCAGUGGCGAAGGCGGCCUUCUGGACUGACACUGACGCUGAGGUGCGAAAGCGUGGGUAGCAAACAGGAUUAGAUACCCGAGUAUUC